GAUGUUAGCGGCGGACGGGUGAGUAACACGUGGGUAACCUGCCUGUAAGACUGGGAUAACUCCGGGAAACCGGGGCUAAUACCGGAUGGUUGUUUGAACCGCAUGGUUCAAACAUAAAAGGUGGCUUCGGCUACCACUUACAGAUGGACCCGCGGCGCAUUAGCUAGUUGGUGAGGUAACGGCUCACCAAGGCAACGAUGCGUAGCCGACCUGAGAGGGUGAUCGGCCACACUGGGACUGAGACACGGCCCAGACUCCUACGGGAGGCAGCAGUAGGGAAUCUUCCGCAAUGGACGAAAGUCUGACGGAGCAACGCCGCGUGAGUGAUGAAGGUUUUCGGAUCGUAAAGCUCUGUUGUUAGGGAAGAACAAGUACCGUUCGAAUAGGGCGGUACCUUGACGGUACCUAACCAGAAAGCCACGGCUAACUACGUGCCAGCAGCCGCGGUAAUACGUAGGUGGCAAGCGUUGUCCGGAAUUAUUGGGCGUAAAGGGCUCGCAGGCGGUUUCUUAAGUCUGAUGUGAAAGCCCCCGGCUCAACCGGGGAGGGUCAUUGGAAACUGGGGAACUUGAGUGCAGAAGAGGAGAGUGGAAUUCCACGUGUAGCGGUGAAAUGCGUAGAGAUGUGGAGGAACACC
rnacentral:rRNA from 1 species